rnacentral:rRNA from 1 species
UACAUGUGGGGCAAGCGUUGUUCGGAAUUACUGGGCAUAAAGGGUGCGUAGGCGGCUUGUUAAGUCAGGGGUGAAAUCCCGGAGCUCAACUCCGGAACUGCCUUUGAUACUGGGGAUCUUGAGUCCGGAAGAGGUGAGUGGAACUCCGAGUGUAGAGGUGAAAUUCGUGGAUAUUCGGAAGAACACCAGUGGCGAAGGCGGCUCACUGGUCCGGUACUGACGCUGAGGUGCGAAAGCGUGGGGAGCAAACAGG